GUGCUAGCUUCAGCAGCACAUAUAGAAAAAUUGGAAUGAUACAGAGAAGAUUUGCAUGGCACCUGCAGAAGGAUGACACAAAAUUUUGUGAAGUGUUAUGUUACAUU
ensembl:snRNA U6 U6 spliceosomal RNA